rnacentral:rRNA from 1 species
GUGGGGAAUCUUGCGCAAUGGACGAAAGUCUGACGCAGCGACGCCGCGUGGGUGAUGAAGGCCUUCGGGUUGUAAAGCCCUGUGGGGAGAGACGAAUAAGUCGUGGCUAAUACCUACGAUGAUGACGGUAUCUCCUUAGCAAGCACCGGCUAACUCUGUGCCAGCAGCCGCGGUAAGACAGAGGGUGCAAACGUUGUUCGGAAUUACUGGGCGUAAAGCGCAUGUAGGCGGCCACGCAGGUCGGAUGUGAAAGCCCUCGGCUCAACCGAGGAAGUGCAUUCGAAACCGCGUGGCUGGAGUCCCGGAGAGGAAGGUGGAAUUCUCGGUGUAGAGGUGAAAUUCGUAGAUAUCGAGAGGAACAUCGGCGGCGAAGGCGGCCUUCUGGACGAGGACUGACGCUGAGAUGCGAAAGCGUGGGGAGCAAACAGGAUUAGAAACCCGGGUAGUCC